GACGAACGUUGGCGGCGUGCCUAAUACAUGCAAGUUGAGCGCUGAAGGUUGGUACUUGUACCAACUGGAUGAGCAGCGAACGGGUGAGUAACGCGUGGGGAAUCUGCCUUUGAGCGGGGGACAACAUUUGGAAACGAAUGCUAAUACCGCAUAAAAACUUUAAACACAAGUUUUAAGUUUGAAAGAUGCAAUUGCAUCACUCAAAGAUGAUCCCGCGUUGUAUUAGCUAGUUGGUGAGGUAAAGGCUCACCAAGGCGAUGAUACAUAGCCGACCUGAGAGGGUGAUCGGCCACAUUGGGACUGAGACACGGCCCAAACUCCUACGGGAGGCAGCAGUAGGGAAUCUUCGGCAAUGGACGAAAGUCUGACCGAGCAACGCCGCGUGAGUGAAGAAGGUUUUCGGAUCGUAAAACUCUGUUGGUAGAGAAGAACGUUGGUGAGAGUGGAAAGCUCAUCAAGUGACGGUAACUACACAGAAAGGGACGGCUAACUACGUG
rnacentral:rRNA from 1 species